rnacentral:rRNA from 1 species
AGGACGAACGCUGGCGGCGUGCUUAACACAUGCAAGUCGAGCGGAAAGGCCCUUCGGGGUACUCGAGCGGCGAACGGGUGAGUAACACGUGAGUAAUCUGCCCCUAGCUCUGGGAUAGCUCCGGGAAACCGGGAUUAAUACCGGAUACGACCACCUUAGACAUCUUUUGUGGUGGAAAGAAUUUCGGCUAGGGAUGAGCUCGCGGCCUAUCAGCUUGUUGGUGGGGUAACGCCUACCAAGGCGACGACGGGUAGCCGGCCUGAGAGGGCGACCGGCCACACUGGGACUGAGACACGGCCCAGACUCCUACGGGAGGCAGCAGUGGGGAAUAUUGCGCAAUGGGCGAAAGCCUGACGCAGCGACGCCGCGUGGGGGAUGAAGGCCUUCGGGUUGUAAACCCCUUUCAGCAGGGACGAAGCGAAAGUGACGGUACCUGCAGAAGAAGCGCCGGCUAACUACGCGCCAGCGAGCCGC